rnacentral:tRNA from 1 species
GGUGGCUCAGUGGUAGAGUGCUUGCUUUGCAAGCAUGAGGCCCUGGGUUCAAUUCCUCAGCACCA